rnacentral:rRNA from 1 species
GAUGAACGCUAGCGGCAGGCUUAACACAUGCAAGUCGAGGGGUAACAGGGAAGCUUGCUUUCGCUGACGACCGGCGCACGGGUGCGUAACGCGUAUACAAUCUACCUUAUACUGGAGAAUAGCCCUAAGAAAUUGGGAUUAAUGCUCCAUAAUAAUUAGUUAUCACAUGGUAAUUAGUUUAAAGCUAUGGCGGUAUAAGAUGAGUAUGCGUCCUAUUAGUUAGUUGGUGAGGUAACGGCUCACCAAGACAGCGAUAGGUAGGGGGCCUGAGGUAGGUUACUCCCCACACGUGGUACUGAGACGACGGACCAGACUCCGUACGGGAGGCAGC